GUGAGAGAGAUGGUUGGCAGGAUGAGGCGAGGUGUGCAGAUGAAGCAAAUGAUCUCUCGGGAAACAAAGCUCCCUUUUCACAUACAUAUACAUCUUAUGGGCCCAGCCAAGUACGAAGAAAGAAAGCAGAACUGAAAAGCAGAACGGUCUACAAAAGGCAGGCAUGGAAGCAUCCCUGUUUUAUUUGUCUACCACUUUCUCUUACAAAUAUUUUAAACAAUGAUAAUGGUGGAAGAAUAUGGAACAUGGCACACAACACUCCAACUUCAGUGGAGACCCUUUUUGUUAAGGCAGAGGAUGGGGGUGGUGUCAUGGACUAACUGGAACAGAGGUGUGAUGGGCGGCACCAGCUAGGGAAUCCCCAAGGGAAGAAGGCUCAGAGACAGGGGAUUGGUGGUGGAAGGAUGAUGAGCAGUUAGAGAAGAGGGAGCAGACUAGGAGAAGGUGACAGAAGCUGAAGAGGUAACAGGGUUUGGUGAGCAGGAAGAAGCUGUGGCAGAGAGCAGUCCAGACUCCAAGGCAGAAGUGGAGGCUGGCGAGGAGGGGGACCAAGAUACAGUGAUGAGUCUUCCCUCUUGCUGUUUCCAGCUCCCCUUCCCCUGGUCUCACAGAACUGGAAGUGGUAUGAAGAGGGCAGAGCAAAGGCAGGCAGGGUCUCAGAGUGCUUUGGAAGAAUCUGGGAUAGGAGGUGGGGCUACCUUUGAAGGUGACCUGGAAACUACAACUAGUCCAGAAUGCGGCAGCUAGAAUGGUGACUGGGAGCAGCCACCAAGACCAUUUAACACCGGUCUUGAAAGACCUACACUGGUUCCCAGUACAUUUCCAAGCACAAUUCAAAGUGUUGGUGCUGACCUUUAAAGCCCUAAACGGCCUCGGUCCAGUAUACCUGAAGAAGCAUCUCCACCUCCAUUGUUCUGCCUGGACACCGUGGUCCAGCGCUGAGGGCCUUCUGGCGGUUCCCUCGCAAGAAGCCAAGUUACAGGGAACCAGGCAGAGGGCCUUCUCGGUAGUGGCACCCGCCCUGUGGAAUGCCCUCCCACCAGAUGUCAAAGAGAAAAAUAACUACCAAACUUUCAGAAGACAUCUAAAGGCAGUCCUGUUUAGGGAAGUGUCAAGGCUGCCUCAGGUCUCAGCUCACAAAAGACCAACGCCAAUCUCUUCUUACAUACAAAAGUGUUUAUUGCAGUUCAUUGUUUGCUUCAUAUCCGAGGCGCGCAGCCUCACGUCUGUACGCUUAGACCGUUGAAGUCCCCUCUGAGUCAGUCCCUCCCCUGCACCAGUUUAAGAGCCUUGCGCUGCUCCACCUCUUUCUCUCUUUCCUUUUCCUCAGGGUCUUUCUGCCCGCUGGGGUUUCGCCCCCCUGGAUUCCCCUGACGCGCUAUCCCCCGACUGCUCUUCCCCUCCUGCGGGCUUUAGGACCUGGCCCUUCCUCCGGGCUCCCUGUACUUCCGCGCGCCUCUACAUUUGAACUUGCGCGCGCGCCCAACCUCUAACUUUCCUUUUGACAGUUACACUACUCCCUUCACUACUCCCUCCCCUUCCGGGAGGAUGGCUUGCUCCGACCUCCCUCCCUUCUCUGCUGCCGGAGCUGCUUCCCCUGAUACACUGGAACCUCCACCCCCUUCGCUGCACUCUGGUGGGGAGGCUGGUCCUGACGCCCAGCUGCCACUUUGGGAUCCCCCGCUGGCCCCCUGUUCCUGACACGUCCCCCCUGGCCUUGACCACUGGCGCCCCCUCUGGGAAUCCUCUGAUUCGCUGGAAAGACUCAUGGAAUCUCUUGAGUCAUUGUCAUCCUCUUCCUCGCUGUCCUGGGAUUCACCCCCAUCGCUCUCCAUCUCCUCCCUACCCUGUGCCUCUGUCCCUGAACCCCUGACAGGAAGCUUUUAAUGUUUAAUAGGUUAUUGUAUUUUAGUGUUUUGUUGGAAGCCACCCAAUUAUUAAUAUUAUUAUUAUUAUUAUUAGGGCAUUAUGGGAAGUUCAGCCCUCACAACUGCCUCAUUGGGGCAAGAUCUAUCGGGAAGAGUUGCUGUGAUCACCAGGCCUGGCCUCCUGAGGCAACCUUGUUUCUUUGAACAGAGUGAACUUCACUGAUGCUCUAUGAGUUAUUGCUGACCAGCUCUGGCCCUUCUCCAGAUAGGAAGCCUAAUUCCUUGGAGGGCUUUCCCCCCCCAGAAGUGUCUGUAUGGGAUAGUUCUCAGGGGGCAACAAGGGCAACAACAGGAAGAUGAGGUAGGUAGUGCCCCUCCUGGCCUAAGACCGGGGGUGGGGGGGGGGAAUUCAAUUCAGUUCAUGUUUUAAAGCCAAAUCUAUCAAACACACACUUUCCAAAGCAAUAUGAGAACUGAAACACAGCCAUCCUCUGAAGUUCACACUAUCCAGAUUUUGCUUGCAGUUUUCCAACCAAACAAUGUUUACAGAAAUGCAUGUAUCAGGGGAAAGUGUACAUAAACCACUUGGAGGCUUGUGUGUGUGUGUGUGUGUGUGUGUGUUGCAGUCAACCGGUGUAUAAAAACUUGAGAAAGUUAUGAAAUAAAAUUGAGUAUCUUACUGAAAAUAGCAUACAAGAAAUGCCUUAUAUUAGGAUGGGGCAAAUAUGCAUUAUUAUAGAAUAGCUGAGUUGGAAGGGGCCCUGAGGAUCAUCUAGUCCAACCCCCUGCAAUGCAGGAAUAAGCAGCUGUCCUUUACAGGGAUCAAACCUGCAACCUUGUCAUUAUCAGUACCAAGCUCCAACCAACUGAACUAUUCUAGUUUCUAGUCCAAACUGCAUACAGAAAUGUAUUUACUAAGAGAGAUUCGCACUAAAAUGCUGAUGAAUUUCCAUGGGGGGGGGUGGGGGGAGCCGAUUGCUGCAGAAAUGUGAAGAGCUGAAUUUAAUAUUAGAAAAAUAGGAGAACCAAAUUUGACAGGUACUUCCAUCGCUACCUAAAUCACACAGCGCAUACAGAAAAAUGCACAUGGUGAAGGAAAAGAAAAACGUUUUUUGUUGCGUUUUUUGUUAUUAAGCGACCUCGGUUUUAUUUACCAUUUCAGGCAGUUUUGUGCACAGCAAAGGCUUCUCCUUUUGGGGAGUUUACUUGGUAUUAUCCAGUCAGUGGAUAUUAUUUUGUGGACAGUCAGGUGUCCACCAGUGUUUGAUCAAGAAGUGGGGAGGAGAGAAAUCACUCCUGCGCUGCCAGGUUCCAUGAUGUACUGAGCUGUGGGGGUGUCUGCAUGGACGGGUCCCCUGGUCCCCAGCUAAUUACCUACUUGAGAGCACCAGAGCUGCACAAAUGAUAAAAUCGUUCCGAAGAAGCAAACGCUUGAGAUGGAAUAAACUGAAUAAAACUGUCAGCUGAAUAGAUUAUUGACCACUUCACCUUUGUGUCUGGAAACAAUCAGAGUGGAGGGAAAGGAGAAAAAUACUCCCUUUCCUUUGCCAGGUGAAUAAAUUGGAUUAAGCCCACACGGCUAAAAUUUAGAAUCUGUGUCUCUUGUGGGUAUAUUCACUGUAAUGCAGAUUUAAUAUUUAGACAGAGACAUAUAUAUUGUGCACAUGGAGGCCGG